rnacentral:lncRNA from 1 species
GGAAUACAUGCCGCUCCCUCCAGAAGAAGCAGAAAAUGGAGAGAAUGCUGGCUGCAGUACUUUGCACGGGGCCUGCAAAUUUAUAUCAGACAACUUCGCUUAGCUCUCCAGGGUAAAAGCUCUCCAGGGUGAGGCCUUAAAAACAGAAGAGAACAAGAUUAAAGUCGUUGCAUUGAAAAUAACAAACAAUAUCAAUGCUUUAAUCAAGGAUCUCUUCCACAUUCCUCCUUCUUAUAAGAGCACAGUAACACUAUCCUGGAAACCUGUACAAAAGGUUGAGAUUGGGCAAAAGAGAGCCAGUGAAGAUACAACUUCAGGUUCACCACCCAAGAAAUCUUCAGCAGGACCAAAAAGAGAUGCCAGGCAGAUUUAUAACCCUCCCAGUGGGAAAUAUAGCAGCAAUUUGAGCAACUUUAAUUAUGAGAGGAGCCUUCAGGGGAAGUAGAGGUGGCCGAGGUUGG